rnacentral:rRNA from 1 species
GGGGAAUUUUCCGCAAUGGGCGAAAGCCUGACGGAGCAAGACCGCGUGGGGGAUGAAGGUUUGUGGAUUGUAAACCCCUUUUGAUUGGGAAGAAUACUGACGGUACCAAUCGAAUAAGCCUCGGCUAACCCCGUGCCAGCAGCCGCGGUAAUACGGAGGAGGCAAGCGUUAUCCGGAAUUAUUGGGCGUAAAGCGUCCGUAGGUGGUUUAGUAAGUCUGCUGUUAAAGCGCGGGGCUUAACUCCGUAUCGGCAGUGGAAACUACUAGACUAGAGUGUGGUAGGGGUAGAGGGAAUUCCCAGUGUAGCGGUGAAAUGCGUAGAUAUUGGGAAGAACACCGGUGGCGAAAGCGCUCUACUGGGCCAUAACUGACACUGAUGGACGAAAGCUANGGGAGCGAAAGGGAUUAGAUACCCCUGUAGUC